GACGAACGCUGGCGGCGUGCUUAACACAUGCAAGUCGAACGGAAAGGCCCUGCUUUUGUGGGGUGCUCGAGUGGCGAACGGGUGAGUAACACGUGAGUAACCUGCCCUUGACUUUGGUAUAACUUCAGGAAACUGGGGCUAAUACCGGAUAGGAGCUCCUGCUGCAUGGUGGGGGUUGGAAAGUUUCGGCGGUUGGGGAUGGACUCGCGGCUUAUCAGCUUGUUGGUGGGGUAGUGGCUUACCAAGGCUUUGACGGGUAGCCGGCCUGAGAGGGUGACCGGCCACAUUGGGACUGAGAUACGGCCCAGACUCCUACGGGAGGCAGCAGUGGGGAAUAUUGCACAAUGGGCGGAAGCCUGAUGCAGCAACGCCGCGAGCGGGAUGAAGGCCUUCGGGUUGUAAACCGCUUUCGCCUGUGACGAAGCGUGAGUGACGGUAAUGGGUAAAGAAGCACCGGCUAACUACGUG
rnacentral:rRNA from 1 species